rnacentral:lncRNA from 1 species
UAUAAAAUGCCUAUUUUGACCAUAAAAUGCCAAAAUUUGUCUUCUUUGCAGAAAUUCUAUAAAAUAAAAGUUUAAAUCCUUUAGUUUCAUGCUAUUUGACAAAUUGAAACCAUCAAAUCAUUUAGGGAAGUUGCCAAAGUACAGAUUCUAUAUUUACAGAUUUCACCUCUUAGGUCCGAGACCACAAUUAUUAGGUCUUUCCACUUUUCUGUGGAAAGACCUAUUGUUUUUCUUCUGAUUAUUUUUUUUCUUUUUUUUCUUCUGCCUAAUUUUGUUCUUGCGAUAAAUAUUUGUUUCGCAAUAUGUGGCUUAGAUAUUUGAUAUUAUAUGAUAUCGAACAGUUUGUGCGCCUUUUAAAUUUACCCUGCGUAACGGAAUACUUUUCUUUGUAGGAGUUAUCUCCCCAAACACUGUUUUCCUUGUGUCCACUACUCCUUCGCAACCGUAAAAGAUUACGACAAAUAUAUUUUAUAAAAUUGCUAGUUAUAUCUUUCGCAUGAUUUGUUGUAUUUUGACCGAAGCGUAAUGAACACUCCAUAUAAGAGUUAUUUCCCCUUAUGCAUUUUAUUUAAGUGAUAUGCAUUUCUAUCUUGUAAACCAUAAGUGAUAGAGACCUAGGAUCUUUUGAUUUGAGGUCCUUGGUCCCAAAAAAUUAAAAUAAGGUCAAGGUCAAAGUCAUAUUCUUAAUUUUGACUUUGACUUUUUUUUUCACUUUCUCCAACACUUUUAAA